UAUUGGGCGUAAAGGGCUCGCAGGCGGUUUCUUAAGUCUGAUGUGAAAGCCCCCGGCUCAACCGGGGAGGGUCAUUGGAAACUGGGGAACUUGAGUGCAGAAGAGGAGAGUGGAAUUCCACGUGUAGCGGUGAAAUGCGUAGAGAUGUGGAGGAACACCAGUGGCGAAGGCGACUCUCUGGUCUGUAACUGACGCUGAGGAGCGAAAGCGUGGGGAGCGAACAGGAUUAGAUACCCUGGUAGUCCACGCCGUAAACGAUGAGUGCUAAGUGUUAGGGGGUUUCCGCCCCUUAGUGCUGCAGCUAACGCAUUAAGCACUCCGCCUGGGGAGUACGGUCGCAAGACUGAAACUCAAAGGAAUUGACGGGGGCCCGCACAAGCGGUGGAGCAUGUGGUUUAAUUCGAAGCAACGCGAAGAACCUUACCAGGUCUUGACAUCCUCUGAUAGUCGGAGAGAUAGGACGUCCCCUUCGGGGGCAGAGUGACAGGUGGUGCAUGGUUGUCGUCAGCUCGUGUCGUGAGAUGUUGGGUUAAGUCCCGCAACGAGCGCAACCCUUGAUCUUAGUUGCCAGCAUUCAGUUGGGCACUCUAAGGUGACUGCCGGUGACAAACCGGAGGAAGGU
rnacentral:rRNA from 1 species